rnacentral:rRNA from 1 species
CAGUAGCCGCGGUAAUACAGAGGGAGCUAGCGUUGUUCGGAAUUACUGGGCGUAAAGCGCACGUAGGCGGCUUUGUAAGUCAGAGGUGAAAGCCUGGAGCUCAACUCCAGAACUGCCUUUGAGACUGCAUCGCUUGAAUCCAGGAGAGGUGAGUGGAAUUCCGAGUGUAGAGGUGAAAUUCGUAGAUAUUCGGAAGAACACCAGUGGCGAAGGCGGCUCACUGGACUGGUAUUGACGCUGAGGUGCGAAUGCGUGGGGAGCAAACAGGAUUAGAUACCCGCGUAGUCCCUGUCUCUUAUAC